rnacentral:lncRNA from 1 species
AUAACUGCUGCUGAGAAGUGUAAGUUACCUUUUUAAUAUACUCUUUUGAUUUGACAAACGAUGAAAAAUAUGGAGGGGUAUAAAUUCUUCUUUUCUACUCUUUUGAUUUAUAAAGAAUGAAUAAUAUGUACUAAAACGACAUGAGAAGCUAUAUAAAAAUUUAAUUUAUGAUUUUAUUCAAAAAAAUAAAGAAUAUUUUUAGUAUGAUAAUUGGAGAAG